CAAGGCAUAUGGAGGUUCCCAGGCUAGGGAUCUAAUUGGAGCUGUAACUGCCAGCUUACACCACAGCCACAGCAACGCCUGAUCCGAGCCGUGUCUGCAAACUACACCACAGCUCACCACAACGCCAGAUCCUUAACCCACUGAGUGAGGCCAGGGAUCAAACCCGCAACCUCAUGGUUCCUCAUGAUUUGUUUCUGCUUCGCCAUGAUGGGAACUCCCAAUUUGAGAGACAUAAAAGCCCAAGGGUAUUUACAGCUGUCCUUGUCCAUCAUAACAUGUGGGAGGCUCUGCUCCAACAUGGUGGAUCCAAAUGUCCUUGUUGGAAAUACUAUUUGCCACGUGUAAUUCUACUCUGUGUUGUUGGACUCCAGACCAUGAAAAGCAAGUGUCACAGUAUCUCCAAGGCAGGAAACAAUACUUCUACUAUUCAUAUUUCCUAUAAGACAGCACAGACAAAUAAUUUGUAUAAUAUUUUAGAGAAUUAAUAUUAAAUGCCAGUUAGGACCAAACUCUCCAAUCUGGAAUGCCCUUUUGAGGAGGUGAAGACCCCGUGUCAGAAUUUUAUGUUAAUUGUAAUGAGUUAAAAUAUGUGUUCCUUUAUGGUUUUUCCUGAGUCAAUAUAAGUAAAUACAAGCACUGCCAAUGAAGGAACAAAUUUUGACUCAAUAGCAAUACUAAUGAGAAAAGAGUGAAAAAAUAGUCAGACAGAGCGGUGAGGAGAGUAGUGAUUCAAAUGAGACUGUGUACAAGCCUUUGUUUGCUGUUUAAAGCUUCUUUUGAUCUGCAUAUCUGCUGUCAGUCUCUGCUAUGGAAUUUUAAGAAGAUAAUGUUACCAUUGCUUAUUAAAGUAAUUGCAUAUGAAAUCUCCAUCUUGAUAAAACUUAGGCCCUUUCAGAUCUUUUCUGAAUCUAAUUAAAGAAAACUAAAAUGAACUGGUAGCAUGUGUUAACCUAUUAGUAUGACAAGUAACCUAAAUACUGAAAUAUGACAACUUAAAGCAAUAUUUUUCAUAAAUAUAAAACAUUCACUACUUGAGGAUAGAUUCAACCCUAAGAUACCUGGGAAUCUUAGUCAUUGGCAAAGGUAUAAAGAUAACAUAAAAUCAAUCUGCACCUUUUCUUUUCUCCUAAUAUAUACCUGAAAGGGAAAAAUGGUUCUGACUAUAAAUCCACUAGAAAAAAAAAAAAAAAAGAAUUAUCCAUUCCACUUGAGAAAGGAAGCUGAAACCUAAUAAAACACUGUUUAUAUGCUAAUCAGAGAAGAUGCUCUCUGCUCUUGCCACCGGGGGAGUUAGCCAGCAGAUUCAGAACAAGUUGUUCUCAUGAUUCUUGACUACGAAGUAUGGUAAUGACAGGUCAGUUGAAUUCGUAAGCCAGCUGGUUUUAGAAAGCUCUUGGCUGUUUGUAAAGUCAAUCCAUUUUUUUUCUUUUUAAUCUAAGAACAAUGACCUCAAGGAACCUUAACACUUUUCUUCAAAUUUCUGGUAUUGGUAAUCAAAUUUCAGUGGAGCAAUUAUUUUAAAAUUAAGCAUCUGAUCAUGAAAUUUGACCCCAAUAUAGUGGAGAAAGUUGAUAAUUGCGUUUUAAACUGAUGAGGUGCUACCUUAACUGAUUUUUUUUUUGGUGUUCUGGGAAAACCCCAGCAUGUUGGCACCAUAACAUCAUAUAAUUGGACCCUUAGGACUUUUAUGAAGUUUUUUUUUUUUUUUUUGGACGGUUAUUUAUGUUUUUACUAUAUUUAAAUAGUAAAGAAGCCAAAGUUCUAGUUAAAGCAUUAUACCAUAAGACAAAAGCAAAUUAUCUCCA
rnacentral:lncRNA from 1 species